CCCCCGGGGCUGCUUAGUACGGCGAGUGAAGCGGCAAAAGCUCAAAUUUGAAAUCUGGUACCUUCGGUGCCCGAGUUGUAAUUUGGAGAGGGCAACUUUGGGGCCGUUCCUUGUCUAUGUUCCUUGGAACAGGACGUCAUAGAGGGUGAGAAUCCCGUGUGGCGAGGAGUGCGGUUCUUUGUAAAGUGCCUUCGAAGAGUCGAGUUGUUUGGGAAUGCAGCUCUAAGUGGGUGGUAAAUUCCAUCUAAAGCUAAAUAUUGGCGAGAGACCGAUAGCGAACAAGUACAGUGAUGGAAAGAUGAAAAGAACUUUGAAAAGAGAGUGAAAAAGUACGUGAAAUUGUUGAAAGGGAAGGGCAUUUGAUCAGACAUGGUGUUUUGUGCCCUCUGCUCCUUGUGGGUAGGGGAAUCUCGCAUUUCACUGGGCCAGCAUCAGUUUUGGUGGCAGGAUAAAUCCAUAGGAAUGUAGCUUGCCUCGGUAAGUAUUAUAGCCUGUGGGAAUACUGCCAGCUGGGACUGAGGACUGCGACGUAAGUCAAGGAUGCUGGCAUAAUGGUUAUAUGCCGCCCGUCUUGAAA
rnacentral:rRNA from 1 species